ACUCAAAGGAAUAGACGGGGACCCGCACAAGCGGUGGAGUAUGUGGCUUAAUUCGAUGCAACGCGAAGAACCUUACCUGGGCUCGACUUGCUUUGUGUCUAUAGUGAAAGCUAUAUAGCGUAGCAAUACGCGCUUAGCACAGGUGCUGCAUGGCUGUCGUCAGCUCGUGUCGUGAGAUGUUGGGUUAAGUCCCGCAACGAGCGCAACCCCCGUAGUUUGUUGCCUUGCAUAAUAGUAAGGCGCUCAAGCUAGACUGCCCAGAUAAACUGGGAGGAAGGUGGGGAUGACGUCAAGUCCGUAUGGCCCUUACGCCCAGGGCUGCACACGUACUACAAUGUCAAAUACAGAGUGUUCCAACCUCGAGAGAGCAAGGCAAUCACAAAAAUUUGACUCAGUUCAGAUUGCAGGCUGCAACUCGCCUACAUGAAGCUGGAAUCGCUAGUAACGGCGCAUCAGCUACGGUGCCGUGAAUACGUUCCCGGGUCUUGCACACACCGCCCGU
rnacentral:rRNA from 1 species